AUUGCAGAAGCAUCCCUGAAAACUUCUGCUGACUUACAUGGUGUACUGAGGAAAGAAAACAACAAAUUGCAAGAGGAUUUGGUCAAGGCUAAUUCCAAGGUGCAUGACCUUUCUGAGCAGCUGGAGGUAGAACACGCAAAGUCGCUGCUGC